CAAUAGCGUAUAUUAAAGUUGGUGCGGUAAAAAAGCUCGUAGUUGGAUUUCUACCGAAGAUAGCCGGUCGGGUCUUCGACCUUGUAUCUGGUUUUGUCUUUGGUAUCCUCAUAGGGAACGUUUCUGCGCUUUAUUGCGUGGUGCGGUAUCUAUGACUUUUACUUUGAGGAAAUUAGAGUGUUCACGGCAGGCAAACGCCUUGAAUAUAUUAGCAUGGAAUAAUAACAUAGGAUCUUCGUCCUAUUUUGUUGGUUUCUAGGGCUAAGAUAAUGAUUAAUAGGGAUAAUUGGGGGCAUCUGUAUCAACGCGUCAGAGGUGGAAUUCUUGGAUUGCGUUGCGACAAACUACUGCGAAAGCAUUUGCCAAGGAUGUUUUCAUUGA
rnacentral:rRNA from 1 species